GACAGAGGUGCCAAGCGUUUAGGCGGAAUCACUGGGCUUAAAGCGUGUGUAGGCGGAUGCCUAAGUACCUUGUGAAAUCCCCCCGGCUCAACCGGGGAACGGCUGGGUAUACUGGGUGUCUUGGGUCAUCUAGGGGCUGCCGGAACAAAUGGUGGAGCGGUGAAAUGCGUAGAUAUCAUUUGGAACGCCAACGGCGAAAGCAGGCAGCUGGGGAUGCACCGACGCUGAGACACGAAAGCCAGGGGAGCGAACGGG
rnacentral:rRNA from 1 species